GCGGCUUUCUUACCCUUACCCUUAUCGUCGGCAGUUUUUGGAAGCUAUGAGUUCGAAGUUUUGAAGAAGACAAGUAGAAAAUCAAAGAUGAUUUGUGUAGAUAAAAUGACUAGGGUUCAAAAGUCUAGAGAAGACAAAAUGAUUUUGUCGAAGGCAAAGCGGUGGGUUCGUCAGAGGGUGAGUUAUCUUCGGAUGCGAAAAAAAUUUCGCACAGCAACAGUGCGAAACGAUUGUAAGCCGUUGGAUUUAACAAACGACAGAUGAACAAUGAACACAUUCCGAAGAUAACUCACCCUCUCUCAUAACCCUCAACAUAUUCCCACUGUACUCCACAAACUCUCUGCCCCCAAAUCCUCCUCCCUCUCCCUCUCUUCCUCGUCACCCUAAGCUUCACCGCCGACCAUCUGCUGUUGGCGACCUCCUCCUCCGCCAUUAAGCCCCGUCACCACCAACUCUGGAUCCGACCCCGACCUCAACCCAACGACCACUCCGCCACGACACGAGACCCAAACUCCGGAUCCAACCCCAACCCCAACUCCAGCGACCACUCCGCAACGACAAGAGAGAGUCUUGAAUCAGUUUUUCCCUCUCUCUCGCCGGCGUCGAAGACCCCAUCAAAGACCCCCACCCUAGGACCGUCGGAGACCCCCCCACCCCGUCGAAGACGAUCCCUCCCCCUCUCUCGCCGAUGCAGGUAAUAAUCCAACCCCUCUUUUUUUCUUUAAAAUGCUGAAAUUAUCCAUGGGUGUUGGAUUUCGAUUGUUAUGUUGGGUGUUGGAUUAUUAAGCCAAUAUUUUUUAUUUUAGUGACAUGAAUUUAGUUGUAGUUGGGUGUUGGGUGUUGAAAUUAUCCAUGUGUGUUGAAUUUAGCUGUAGUUGGGUGUUGGAUUUUUUAUUUCAAUUGUAUGAAGUCUAUAUACCUGACAAUAACAGAUUGCAUAUUACAUUCAUUUGCGGAACACAUUGCAUAUUACAUUCUUUUCUCCAUUCCUAUCUUAGCAACCAUCUUCAGUGGAACGGCUUCUCUUGCAUCAAUCUUGUGGUCAGUUUGCUUGAAUUUAGCUUGGGUGUUGGAUUUCAAUUGUUAUGUUGGUCAGUUUGCUUGAAUUUAGUUGUAGUUAGGUGUUAGUGACAUGAAUGCAGAUUUGGUUGACAAAUUUAGACCACAAAUCAAAUAUACGUUUGCAUUGUAGUUAGGUUCAAACUAUUUCAAUUUGCCCUACUGGUCAUGACUAAAUUUGGUUUCAAGAUAAAGUUGUAUAUUUUGAUACAUGGAGUCAUCUUCAAGCACUUGUCAUGGAUUGAUGUGCCAUUGUGGAAGGAGGGCUAUACUCUCCAGAUCUGGAUCUAAGAUGAACCCUGGUUGAUUAUUUUUGGGAUGCGCUAAUUGGAAAGUGCGUAAUUGUGGAUUCUUCAAAUGGGUGUCUGGUGAAGAGGAGUUUGAAGGUUCAAAGGCAGGGCUUGUUCAGACGAAGCAGUCGAGCGUGAUCCCGCAAGUUUCAAGUGCCGUGUCAAUUGGAGAAGUUCGGGAAAAGAGAAAGAUUGAAAUUGAUAUUAUGGAAUUGUUGAAGCUUGUUGUAUUUGUUCUUUUAUUGGGUAUUUUUCUUGGAUUUGUAUUUGGUAUUUUUAUUGGAUUUGUGCUAAGUAGGGUGUAAGACUGUAUUAUUGGAUGAGUAAGAUUUGUAUUUGAUAUGAUAAA